GAUGAACGCUGGCGGCGUGCCUAAUACAUGCAAGUCGAGCGAACGGACGAGAAGCUUGCUUCUCUGAUGUUAGCGGCGGACGGGUGAGUAACACGUGGAUAACCUACCUAUAAGACUGGGAUAACUUCGGGAAACCGGAGCUAAUACCGGAUAAUAUUUUGAACCGCAUGGUUCAAAAGUGAAAGACGGUCUUGCUGUCACUUAUAGAUGGAUCCGCGCUGCAUUAGCUAGUUGGUAAGGUAACGGCUCACCAAGGCAACGAUGCAUAGCCGACCUGAGAGAGCGACGGGACACAUUGGGAGUGGGAACCGGUCCAAAGUACUACGGGAGGCAGCAGUGGAGAAUAUUGCAAAAUGGGAGAAAGACUGAUGGAGCGACGACGCGUGAGCGAAGAAGUAUUUCGGUAUGUAAAGCUCUAGCAGCAGGGAAGAUCAUGACGGUACCUGACUAAGAAGCCCGGGCUAAAUACGUG
rnacentral:rRNA from 1 species